rnacentral:rRNA from 1 species
ACGCACGCUGGCGGCGUGCUUAACACCUGCAAGUCGAACGGAAAGGCCCUGCUUUUGUGGGGUGCUCGAGUGGCGAACGGGUGAGUAACACGUGAGUAACCUGCCCUUGACUUUGGGAUAACUUCAUGAAACUGGGGCUAAUACCGGAUAGGAGCUCCUGCUGCAUGGUGGGGGUUGGAAAGUUUCGGCGGUUGGGGAUGGACUCGCGGCUUAUCAGCUUGUUGGUGGGGUAGUGGCUUACCAAGGCUUUGACGGGUAGCCGGCCUGAGAGGGUGACCGGCCACAUUGGGACUGAGAUACGGCCCAGACUCCAACGGGAGGCAGCAGUGGGGAAUAUUGCACAAUGGGCGGAAGCCUGAUGCAGCAACGCCGCGUGCGGGAUGACGGCCUUCGGGUUGUAAACCGCUUUCGCCUGUGACGAAGCGUGAGUGACGGUAAUGGGUAAAGAAGCACCGGCUAACUACGUG